CAGUAGCCGCGGUAAAACGGAGGGGGCUAGCGUUGUUCGGAAUUACUGGGCGUAAAGCGCACGUAGGCGGCUUGGUAAGUUAGAGGUGAAAGCCCGGAGCUCAACUCCGGAAUUGCCUUUAAGACUGCCGAGCUAGUAGGUGAGAGAGGUAAGUGGAAUUCCGAGUGUAGAGGUGGAAUUCGUAGAUAUUCGGAAGAACACCAGUGGCGAAGGCGGCUUACUGGCUCAUUCUAGACGCUGAGGUGCGAAAGCGUGGGGAGCAGACAGGAUUAGAUACCCGGGUAGUCCCUGUCUCUUAUAC
rnacentral:rRNA from 1 species